GGGGAUUUAGCUCAGCGGCAUAAGCACCUGCCUUGCAAGCAGGUGGUCGUGAGCUCAAUCCCGG
rfam:Cavia porcellus supercont2_16 genomic scaffold, whole genome shotgun sequence.